rfam:Gossypium hirsutum cultivar TM-1 unplaced genomic scaffold scaffold1080.1, whole genome shotgun sequence
UAUUAAAAAUUUCAUUUAUUUGUACUGUUAAAAACAAGCGUGCAUAACCAAAUAACCAGACAAUGACACAUGGCGUGCCACAUGCACGUCAUGUUGACAUAUAGAGACCAAUUUUUAAAAGUAAAAAUAGAUGAGCUUUAUAACA